AGGGGGUCUGGAGCCUGCAGGAGAUUGGUCCUGGAGAGGGCCCUUGGCUGCACUGUCAUGGUGGGCAGUGGUGACUGGAGUCCUUGGGAAGGAAGCAGACUCCUUUCCAACAGGAGUCUAGAGUGGGGAGCAUUCCUGAGCUUGUUCUUGCUGUGAAGAUUCCUCUCAGAAUGCUGGGUCUGUGACUUAAUGCUGAAUCACAGUGCUGAAACUCUUCCCUAGCUUUUAUGGGAUUCUGGGUUCCAUUUUUAUCACCACAAAAACAGAAGCAUCAAAGCACACUGUUUCCUUUGAGAACACACUCUUGGGGACCUGAGACUUCCAACCCCUUAAAAGUCCACUACCUGAACAUUACCACAUUGGGGAGCAAAAUUCCAACCCAGUAACCCGUCAGGAUACACUGCAUCCCACACCCUAGCACUGCCGGAAGCGCCUUUCAUCUCUGACUCGAGAGUCUCUGUGAGUUCAUAUACACACAGUUAGGGGUCCAUGAAGGACAGGACCGCGACACACAGAAGAUGUCCAUAGCUCAACUCUAAAAAUUGUGAGGACAUUAUCUGAUAAAGUAAAGAGGAUUUUGCAGGCCACCUGGAGCUCAGCUCUUCACUAGUCUUCCCAGGUCAUGGCCUUGCAGUCCUGUGGUCAGGAUCACCUUCAUAUUGAUGGAGGAACUGAGGCUCCACGAGGCUUGCUGGAAACCAAGGCUAUGGAGGAGGGCAGUUCCCAUGUGCGUCAGCCACCUGCAUCCUGGGUCACAUGUAGCCCAGAUUGUCAUCCAAUUCUAUAGCUGUGGAUGACCUUGAGCCUCUGAUCCUCCUGUCUCCACCUCCAAGUGCCGAGAUCACAGGUGUGUGUCACCAUACCUGGUUUAUGUGAUUCGGGGGAUGGAAGUUAGGCUUCGUGCAUGCUGAACAAGUACUGUAGCCAUGGAGUCAGCAUCAGCAACCUGGCAUUCGUUGGAUGGCAGAUGCUGCACUCAUCUCGGUCAUGGUUGUUUUAGCCGCCAUCAUCUCCUCAUCCUCAGCAUCACUGUUACUCCAGAGCUUCUCACCACCUUCCCCAUGCAGGCCCAGGUUGCUUUUAUGCCCCCCAAGUAUCAUAUCUGUCCACUUACUGAAGAAGAAGCAUGAUGAUCAUAGAGUGAAAUGAUUGCCUAGUGCCAUCCAGCUAAUACGUGGUGGAGGUGACAUCUGAAGUGAGGGAGGUUCUCUACUAUUCUUUAAGUCAUCCCAACUUAUGUCCUGUAUUAAACUAAUGCCGUAGGUGCACAGUAAAUGAA